rnacentral:rRNA from 1 species
UACGUAGGGGCCGAGCGUUGUCCGGAGUUAUUGGGCGUAAAGGAUGUGUAGGUGGUUGUAUUAGUCUGGUGUCUAACCUCUGAGCUCAACUUGGAGACAGCAUUGGAAACGGUACGACUAGAGUAUGUUAGGGGUAAGCGGAACUAAUAGUGUAGGGGUGAAAUCCGUUGAUAUUAUUGGGAACACCAAAAGCGAAGGCAGCUUACUGGAACAUUACUGACACUGAAACAUGAAAGCGUGGGUAGCGAAUGGG